rnacentral:lncRNA from 1 species
GUUUACUCAUAAUUGAUUUAUGGGUGUGUUUGGUUCGCAUUAUGAAAGAUUAUUAGGAAUAAAAGAUAUUUGAGAAUCUUAUUUCUGUUCAUUCUAUUACUAAGAAUGUGAAAUUUCUAUUUUUGGUUUGCACGGUAAUAUUAAUUAGCCAUGUUAUUUAAUAUUAUAAAAAAUAUACAAUUAAUUUAUUUAUUUAUUUAAUUAAUUUUAGAUAAUAUUACCAAAAGUUUCAACAUCUUUUUAGAAAAAAGUGAGAGAGAGUAUAAGUUUGAGAGAGAGAGCAUAAUUAAAAAAAAUAGAAAGAAAAAUAUAGUCGAAAUUAGAGGGAGUGAGAGAGUUGAAAUUUUAGAAAAAGAGAGAGAGAGAGAAAGCUUAGUUUAGAGAGAGAAAAAAAAAUUGAAAUUUAGGGAGAAAAAUAAGUUUAGAGAGAGAUAUAAGGUUAGAGUGUAAAGAAAAAUAAUAUCAAUUAGCCGGCGGGUAGGAAGAAAGAAAGAGAUUAGAUAUAUUAUGAUUACCCCAAUCCUACCCAUCCUCCCUCAAGGGAAUGAGAUUAGUACUUUGGGGUGAAUCUUAUUCCCAAAUAAAUCCAAUAUUACCAACUAGAUUACUUAGUGCGUUUAGCCAAAUAUCGUCAUAUUUUUUUAAUCCCAUUAGAUUACUAGAAAUUUUUAAAAGAUAGGGCGAACCAAAUGCACCCUAUAGGUUAAAAAGUAAGUUUUUAGUUGAACUGAAAUUUAAGUAAAAAAAAAGGUAAUUUUUCGUUACUAUUUGAUUGAUAGGAAGUCCACGGCACUGCAUUUGUAGUUAUUCCACUUUUUGCAUUUAUUUUACUGAAAAUUUUUAGGAAAAACUUCAAAUAUCCCUUGUGGUUUCGUACUUUCUUACUUUAGUAUUAUGUGGUUUAAAGUGUAUCAAGUUAGUAUCCUGUGGUUUCGCACUUUCUCACUUUAGUACCCUGUGGUUUAAAGUGUUUCAAGUUAGUACUCUGUAGUUUCAUUUUUGUAUCAAAUUAGUACCUCGUGGUUUCAUUUUUCUCUUUUUAUUAUCCAUUUCGGAAUAUUUUUUUCGCUAAAUCAGUGAUAAAGUUAAACUAAAUGAUACUAAAAUGAAUAUUCGAUAAACUUAGGUAAGGUGUCGGAAGUUUUUCGUAUAUAAUUUAACGAAAUAUUAAACCACGUGGUAAUAAAGUGAGAAAGUGCGAAACUGUAGGGUACUAAUUUGACAUACUUUAAAUCACAGGAUACUAAAGUGAGAAAAUGUAAAACCACUGGGUACUAACUUGAUAUAUUUUAAACUAUAAGGUACUAAAGUGAGAAAAUGUGAAACUACACGGGAGUAUUUGAAGUUUUUCUAAAUUUUUAUAUUAUCAUACAAGAAGGUUAAAA